CAUGCAAGUCGAGGGGUAACGGGGAAGCUUGCUUCCGCCGACGACCGGCGCACGGGUGUGUAACGCGUAUACAAUCUACCUUGUACUGGGGUAUAGCCUUUAGAAAUGAAGAUUAAUCCCCCAUAGUCUCUUAGAGUGGCAUCACUUCUAGAGUAAAGGUUACGGUAUAAGAUGAGUAUGCGUUCUAUUAGUUUGUUGGUGUGGUAACGGCACACCAAGACUACGAUAGAUAGGGGCCCUGAGAGGGGGAUCCCCCACACUGGUACUGAGACACGGACCAGACUCCUACGGGAGGCAGCAGUGAGGAAUAUUGGACAAUGGAGGCAACUCUGAUCCAGCCAUGCCGCGUGCAGGAAGACUGCCCUAUGGGUUGUAAACUGCUUUUAUACAGGAAGAAACACCUCUACGUGUAGAGGCUUGACGGUACUGUAAGAAUAAGGAUCGGCUAACUCCGUGCCAGCAGCCGCGGUAAUACGGAGGAUCCAAGCGUUAUCCGGAAUCAUUGGGUUUAAAGGGUCCGUAGGUGGAUAAUUAAGUCAGAGGUGAAAUCUUGCAGCUCAACUGUAAAAUUGCCUUUGAAACUGGUUGUCUUGAGUUAUUAUGAAGUAGUUAGAAUAUGUAGUGUAGCGGUGAAAUGCAUGGAUAUUACAUAGAAUACCAAUUGCGAAGGCAGAUUACUAAUAAUCAACUGACACUGAUGGACGAAAGCGUGGGUAGCGAACAGGAUUAGAUACCCUGGUAGUCCACGCCGUAACCGAUGGUUACUAGCUGUUUGGACUUCGGUCUGAGUGGCUAAGCGAAAGUGAUAAGUAACCCACCUGAGGAGUACGUUCGCAAGAAUGAAACUCAAAGGAAUUGACGGGGGCCCGCACAAGCGGUGGAGCAUGUGGUUUAAUUCGAUGAUACGCGAGGAACCUUACCAGGGCUUAAAUGUAAGUUGCAUUAGCUAGAGAUAGCUAUUUCUUCGGACCACUUACAAGGUGCUGCAUGGUUGUCGUCAGCUCGUGCCGUGAGGUGUCAGGUUAAGUCCUAUAACGAGCGCAACCCCUGUUGUUAGUUGCCAGCGAGUCAUGUCGGGAACUCUAACAAGACUGCCAGUGCAAACUGUGAGGAAGGUGGGGAUGACGUCAAAUCAUCACGGCCCUUACGUCCUGGGCUACACACGUGCUACAAUGGUAGGUACAGAGAGCAGCCACUGCGCGAGCAGGAGCGAAUCUAUAAAACCUAUCACAGUUCGGAUCGGAGUCUGCAACUCGACUCCGUGAAGCUGGAAUCGCUAGUAAUCGGAUAUCAGCCAUGAUCCGGUGAAUACGUUCCCGGGCCUUGUACACACCGCCCGUCAAGCCAUGGAAGUUGGAAGUGCCUGAAGUCCGUCACCGCAAGGAGCGGCCUAGG
rnacentral:rRNA from 1 species